rnacentral:tRNA from 2 species
GGGCGAUUAGCUCAGUUGGUUAGAGCGCGUCACUGAUAAUGACGAGGUCUCAAGUUCGAAUCUUGAAUCGCCCACAA